UACGUAGGGUGCGAGCGUUGUCCGGAAUUACUGGGCGUAAAGAGCUCGUAGGUGGUUUGUCGCGUUGUUCGUGAAAACUCACGGCUUAACUGUGAGCGUGCGGGCGAUACGGGCAGACUGGAGUACUGCAGGGGAGACUGGAAUUCCUGGUGUAGCGGUGGAAUGCGCAGAUAUCAGGAGGAACACCGGUGGCGAAGGCGGGAUC
rnacentral:rRNA from 1 species